GUUGGUGGUUUGACGCCAGGGUCACACCUGUUCUCAUUCCGAACACAGAAGUUAAGCCUGGUAGUGGCGAUGAUACUUGCAAAGGGAAAGUAGCUAGCCGCCAACA
rnacentral:rRNA from 1 species